rnacentral:rRNA from 1 species
AGAGCGUAGGGUGGAUGCCUAGGCACUGAGAGCCGAUGAAAGACGUGAUAAGCUGCGAAAAGCUUCGGGGAGGAGCACAUAUCCUGUGAUCCGGAGAUAUCUGAAUGGGGAAACCCCGCUGAGCAUACCUCAGCGAUCCGUACAUGAAUCCAUAGUGUGCGGAAGGGAACCCGGGGAACUGAAACAUCUAAGUACCCGGAGGAAGAGAAAGAUAGUAUCGAUUUCCAAAGUAGCGGCGAGCGAAAUGGGAAGAGCCCAAACCGGUGUGCGUGCACACCGGGGUUGCGGACCUGCGAACGUACUGUGAGCGCUAGUGGAACGGUUUUGGAAAAGCCGGCAAAAAGGGUGAAAGCCCCGUACACGAAAGCGCAGGCAGACAGGCAGGAAUCCAGAGUACCGCGAGACACGUGGAACCUUGCGGGAAGCAGGGGGGACCACCUCCCAAGGCUGAAUACUCCUCAGUGACCGAUAGUGCACAGUACUGUGAAGGAACGGUGAAAAGGACCCCGGGAGGGGAGUGAAAAAGAACCUGAAACCCUAUGUUUACAAUCGGUGGGAGGGCGCAAGCCCAACCGCAUACUUUUUGUAGAACGGUCCGGCGAGUUGCCGGUACUGGCAAGGUUAAGCGCGGAAAGCGCGGAGCCGGAGGGAAACCAAGUCUCAAAUGGGCGCAAGUCAGUACAGGCAGACCCGAAACCGGGUGAUCUACCCAUGGCCAGGAUGAAGCGGGAGUAAAAUCCCGUGGAGGUCCGAACGCACAUCCGUUGAAAAGGGUGGCGAUGAGCGGUGGGUAGGGGAGAAAUUCCAAUCGAACCCGGAGAUAGCUGGUUCUCCCCGAAACAGCUUUAGGGCUGGCCUCGUGAUAGUCUGCCGGAGGUAGGGCACUGAAUUUCCGAGGGGGCGUCAAAGCCUGCCAAAGAAUAUCAAACCGUAAAUGCCGGCCAGAUGUUUCACGGGAGUCAGACGGCACGAGAUAAAUUGGGUCGUCAAAAGGGAAAAAGCCCAGACCUGCAGCUAAGGUCCCAAAGUGCAUGUUAAGUGGUAAAGGAUGUGGGAUCUCGAAGACAACUAGGACGUUGGCUCAGAAGCAGCCAUACAUUCAAAGAGUGCGUAAUAGCUCACUAGUCGAGAGGCCCUGCGCCGAAAAUGACCGGGGCUCAAACAUGCCGCCGAAGCUCAGGAAUCAGAAAUGAUUGGUAGGGGAGCAUUGCUGGCGCGCCGAAGCGGAUUCGUAAGGAACCGUGGAGUGCCAGGAAGAGAGAAUGCCGGAAUGAGUAGCGAGAAUAAGGUGAGAAUCCUUAUGGCCGAAUAUCCAAGGAUUCCAGGGUAAAGCUGAUCUGCCCUGGGAAAGUCGGGGCCUAAGACGAGGCCGAAAGGCGUAGCCGAUGGACAGCAGGUGGAGAUUCCUGCACCCCGUGCAGACAGAACUGUGGGGACACAGGAGGCGAAGGCAGAGCCGGGAAUGAGAAGACCGGUGCAAGCGGAGGAGGCGUACGGUAAGAAAACCUGCCGUGCAAGCCAAAACCGUCAUGCGGAGCGAAAUCCAGUAGCGAAGCUGCCGAGCAGCCUGUCAAGAAAAGCCGCUAUUGUUCUGUACGGGCCCGUACCGUAAACCGACACAGGUGGAUGAGGAGAGAAUCCCAAGGCCGACGGAAGAAGUAUUGUUAAGGAACUCGGCAAAAUGACCCCGUAACUUCGGGAGAAGGGGUGCCUGGGAAACCAGGCCGCAGAGAAAAGGCCCAAGCAACUGUUUAGCAAAAACACAGGUCUAUGCAAAACCGAAAGGUGAGGUAUAUGGGCUGACGCCUGCCCGGUGCUGGAAGGUCAAGGGGAGUGGUCAGGAAACGAAGCCACGAACUUAAGCCCCAGUAAACGGCGGCCGUAACUAUAACGGUCCUAAGGUAGCGAAAUUCCUUGUCGGGUAAGUUCCGACCCGCACGAAAGGCGUAAUGAUUUGGGCGCUGUCUCGACAAUACAUCCGGUGAAAUUGAAGUGCCAGUGAAGAUGCUGGCUGCCCGCGCCAGGACGGAAAGACCCCAUGGAGCUUUACUCCAGCCUGAUACUGGGAUCCGGUAGUUCACGUACAGGAUAGGUGGGAGGCAGAGAAGCAGGGACGUCAGUUUCUGCGGAGCCGCUGUUGGGAUACCACCCCUGAGUUACUGGAUUUCUAACAAGUGAGUCUGAAACGAGUCAUUGGACACUGUCAGGCGGGGAGUUUGACUGGGGCGGUCGCCUCCGAAAGAGUAUCGGAGGCGCCCAAAGGUUCCCUCAGAAUGGUCGGAAACCAUUCGAAGAGUGCAAAGGCAGAAGGGAGCCUGACUGCGACACCGACGGGUGGAGCAGAUACGAAAGUAGGGCUUAGUGAUCCGGUGGCAGUAAGUGGGAAUGCCAUCGCUCAACGGAUAAAAGCUACCCUGGGGAUAACAGGCUGAUCACUCCCA